CGUACACUCCUGCGGGAGGCAGCAGUGGGGAAUAUUGGACAAUGGGCGCAAGCCUGAUCCAGCCAUGCCGCGUGAGUGAUGAAGGCCCUAGGGUUGUAAAGCUCUUUCACCGGUGAAGAUAAUGACGGUAACCGGAGAAGAAGCCCCGGCUAACUUCGUGCCAGCAGCCGCGGUAAUACGAAGGGGGCUAGCGUUGUUCGGAUUUACUGGGCGUAAAGCGCACGUAGGCGGACUAUUAAGUCAGGGGUGAAAUCCCGAGGCUCAACCCCGGAACUGCCUUUGAUACUGGUAGUCUUGAGUUCGAGAGAGGUGAGUGGAAUUCCGAGUGUAGAGGUGAAAUUCGUAGAUAUUCGGAGGAACACCAGUGGCGAAGGCGGCUCACUGGCUCGAUACUGACGCUGAGGUGCGAAAGCGUGGGGAGCAAACAGGAUUAGAAACCCCAGUAGUCCCAUGAU
rnacentral:rRNA from 1 species